AGACACAUAAAUCCUCCUCAUCACAAACAUGACUUUGAUCUGCGUCCUCAUCUGGACUCUCCUCUGCUGCUGCUUCACAGCUGUUAAGAGGUCAGAGUUGAUCAGUGGCUGUCCAGGCCUUUCAGAGCCACUGACACACCAGCAGCACAAUGAUGAUGUCACUGACUCUACUGCUGACCAUCCUGGGGCUCCUGGUUCAGGGUUCAUCAGGAGACAUCAUCCUGACUCAGACUCCUGGAUCUCAGUCUGUUGCUCCAGGACAGACUGUCUCAAUCACAUGUAAAACCAGUUCAGGUGUUGGUAGCUAUCUCAACUGGUACCUUCAGAAACCUGCAGAAGCUCCUAAACUCCUGAUUUAUUCAGCUACGACUCUUCAGUCUGGAGUUCCAGCUCGGUUCAGUGGAAGUGGAUCUGUUUCUGAUUACACUCUGACCAUCAGUGGAGUUCAGGCUGAAGAUUCAGGAGUUUAUUACUGUCAGCAGAGUAGCAGCUUCCCGUUCACACAGUGAAUGAACGUCGUACAAAAACCUCCCUCAGUUUCAGGGGAACUGAUCUGACUCAACAGCUGCACUGAAACUAAAACAUUGAACAUUUCC